CAACACUUCCCAGGUGAUUUUCAUGGAAAUUCACCAAUAUAUGCCUGUAAAACAAGUCUUCCUUCGUAAACAAAAUAAUAAUAACAUAGAAAAAAAAAAAAAAAAUCUUUCCCGAAACCACCACAUGAGAACAUGUGAAUUUCAUGUUCCCACAUGUUAUCAAGGGUGGAAAAACUCCCACACUGCUCCCAUUUUUCUCCCUGAUGUGUACUUUACACAAGUUCCAAGAAGAAAUCCAAAAUUCUCCGUAUUAUUGCCACCUAAUUUCUAAUCAAUGCCAUCGCUGUGCAUAGUCCAAUGAAUUGAAAGCUGUUGGACCUGAAAAAUUCAAGCUCAAUUCUCCCCUCUAUAUGUAAUUAAAAAAAAAAAAAAAAAUUCUAAUCAAUGACGACUUUCUACCCUCAAUAGCUCUAGGAUUUGAUCGAUUGAUUUGAUUUCCGCCGUGGGACCAUGCUCUCAAUUCAUCUGCAUUGACCCAACCCAGAAAGAUGUUUCAUGC
rnacentral:misc_RNA from 1 species